rnacentral:rRNA from 1 species
CACUACUGUAAACUAUGAUAACUCGCUGCCAGCGAUAGACUGUUGGUGGCCCAGCGAAAGCGAUAAGUUAUCCACCUGGGGAGUACGACCGCAAGGUUGAAACUCAAAGGAAUUGACGGGGGCCCGCACAAGCGGAGGAACAUGUGGUUUAAUUCGAUGAUACGCGAGGAACCUUACCCGGGCUCGAACGGCAGAUGUCGUAUACAGAGACGUAUACUCUCUUCGGAGCGUCUGUCGAGGUGC